AACCAUUCAAAAGUUUAGAGACGAGUGACUAUUCCGAUUAAUGACACAAACUUUGAAGUGACGUCACUCACCAAUUGUAAGAAGAGCACAAAUACUUGAAUACUAUAUUGCAAUAAAUGAAAAAAAGUAGAGAUAAAAAGUGUCACCAAAAUUACUGAAGAACUAUCCAUGUAAAUUGUAGUAUACAUGCAUGAACUGCUGAAGAACCACUAACGCACUCAUUUGUAUCACGAUGUGACUACUUUCAACGAAAAUUGGGGACAUUAUCACCGGGACGGAAUUCAGACAUUUUCAGCAUUUGGGGACGAAAUUCAGUAGCUGUGAUUUAUAUAUAUAAGGGUGGUGAAGUGCCGGUAAAGUACGUUCUCACUAUAGCAAGUAUCUGCACACCACCGAACGUCCGGGAAGAAAGGUUUUCA